AGUCGAACGAACUCUGGUAUUGAUUGGUGCUUGCAUCAUGAUUUACAUUUGAGUGAGUGGCGAACUGGUGAGUAACACGUGGGAAACCUGCCCAGAAGCGGGGGAUAACACCUGGAAACAGAUGCUAAUACCGCAUAACAACUUGGACCGCAUGGUCCGAGUUUGAAAGAUGGCUUCGGCUAUCACUUUUGGAUGGUCCCGCGGCGUAUUAGCUAGAUGGUGGGGUAACGGCUCACCAUGGCAAUGAUACGUAGCCGACCUGAGAGGGUAAUCGGCCACAUUGGGACUGAGACACGGCCCAAACUCCUACGGGAGGCAGCAGUAGGGAAUCUUCCACAAUGGACGAAAGUCUGAUGGAGCAACGCCGCGUGAGUGAAGAAGGGUUUCGGCUCGUAAAACUCUGUUGUUAAAGAAGAACAUAUCUGAGAGUAACUGUUCAGGUAUUGACGGUAUUUAACCAGAAAGCCACGGCUAACUACGUGCCAGCAGCCGCGGUAAUACGUAGGUGGCAAGCGUUGUCCGGAUUUAUUGGGCGUAAAGCGAGCGCAGGCGGUUUUUUAAGUCUGAUGUGAAAGCCUUCGGCUCAACCGAAGAAGUGCAUCGGAAACUGGGAAACUUGAGUGCAGAAGAGGACAGUGGAACUCCAUGUGUAGCGGUGAAAUGCGUAGAUAUAUGGAAGAACACCAGUGGCGAAGGCGGCUGUCUGGUCUGUAACUGACGCUGAGGCUCGAAAGUAUGGGUAGCAAACAGGAUUAGAUACCCUGGUAGUCCAUACCGUAAACGAUGAAUGCUAAGUGUUGGAGGGUUUCCGCCCUUCAGUGCUGCAGCUAACGCAUUAAGCAUUCCGCCUGGGGAGUACGGCCGCAAGGCUGAAACUCAAAGGAAUUGACGGGGGCCCGCACAAGCGGUGGAGCAUGUGGUUUAAUUCGAAGCUACGCGAAGAACCUUACCAGGUCUUGACAUACUAUGCAAAUCUAAGAGAUUAGACGUUCCCUUCGGGGACAUGGAUACAGGUGGUGCAUGGUUGUCGUCAGCUCGUGUCGUGAGAUGUUGGGUUAAGUCCCGCAACGAGCGCAACCCUUAUUAUCAGUUGCCAGCAUUAAGUUGGGCACUCUGGUGAGACUGCCGGUGACAAACCGGAGGAAGGUGGGGAUGACGUCAAAUCAUCAUGCCCCUUAUGACCUGGGCUACACACGUGCUACAAUGGAUGGUACAACGAGUUGCGAACUCGCGAGAGUAAGCUAAUCUCUUAAAGCCAUUCUCAGUUCGGAUUGUAGGCUGCAACUCGCCUACAUGAAGUCGGAAUCGCUAGUAAUCGCGGAUCAGC
rnacentral:rRNA from 4 species